UUACUAACCUUUCUUCCUCUGCUUUUGAUUUAAAACUUUAAAGUUUCUUGAUUUGUUUAAUUUGUCCAAUUUUUUUGGAAAACGAGGCAUAGACUGUGUCCCUCAGACUGUAGAUCCGCAGAAAAAUUAUUCUGCGGGACCAAUUGAUAAAAAAGGCUAUUUUUGACCGAACUUUGAAAGUUCAAGUCACCUAGCAAUACUGGAAAUAUUUCCUUCAUAGACUGAAUCCCAGAAAGUAGCCUUUUGAAGGGUAUUUUCUCGUGCCAUUUGACACCGAGAAUGGCCUCCCUUCGCCGACUGGCUGUGUGUGCGGAAUUGUGUACACGUUUCCAAAGUAAAUUUUAAUUUGAUUUGCCAAGGAUAAAGGAUGAAUGCGGCCGUGGUCAUAAUGCGAUAUAGACCCGCCAGGCGCUAGUUGAUGACCCAAAUUGAGUGUUUGACAGUUUGCUUCGCCCUUUCUCCUUUUAUACCCCGCCUCCCACUGAUGGCUGCCGUCAGGUUGCUCCAAUUAUGCCAGAAUUCAAGCGCUCUCUGAUUGCUUAAUCUUGCCGGAAUGCAUUAAUGUGUCAGCGCCGUUCCUUGCAAACUGAGCCCAGUUAACACGUACGCCGCCCCCCACUCACACACACGCGCCAGAACCAACCUCCUUUUGAGAAGUCCUACUGUAAUUAAAAUGUCAAAACGAAUUUACAUGCCACAGUCCUUCGUGAUAAGGUCUUUUGAUCACAAGGAUGCUCUAAUGCUGCCAUCUUAAAUGAAAUGGGAAAAAAAUAGUAGGCCUCUUCAUUUGGUUUUGCGGUUCGGUCGUCUGUCAGUGCCAAGCACACAUCCGAGAGAUAGAAAAAUGUUGUAUCAGACCGGACGCACAGACGGUCAGGCAAUGAUGCAAAAAUAUUUCAACAAUUUUUUUGUGCAAAUAGGGGAGGACCGAGCGAUGGCCAACAUAGACAAGACAUGGCUCAAAAACAGGACUCUAAACCGAAUGCAAAAACCAACUGUGGGCGAACAACAAAGGACCAAAAUAUUUCCACAAUCGGGGGGAGAAAAAAACGAAAGGACACACAGAUAACACAACGGAUGGACUUUACAAAGUUUACUCUAUAAAUGGAAUUAGUUUUUGAGGCGAGCACGUCAUUAAUCUUUGGAUUUUACAAAAAUAAGUUUAUUUUUAAAUAAAGCCCACCAUUUCGAUAUCCAUUGGAAAUAAAUUUUUCAUCUCAUCCAUCCAAUGUCUUUAAGCCGAAAGGAAGUUCAAUUGCAGCGAGUGGAACAAGGCCCAACACGAUUAGGCUUUUUUCAUUAGUGUCAGGCUGCGAAUGAACCGCACGGGACGUGAAAAUCGUGAAAAUUCUGGGGAAAUCGUGAGAAAAGCGUGAAGCCCAGCUGCUACCUCUGGCUGGCUUGGCUUGGCUCAUCAAAAGAUUGAAGGACCAUGGUGCUGCGCCUCCGAGAGAAGGAAAUAUUCAAAUGCCUAAACUAAAUUGCAUAUUUAUGCGAGUCCACAAAUACUGAAGGAGCAAAAAAUGAAAAAUAUGAAUAAAAGUAAGACAGCAGUGGCUCGCACUGCUGGCAUAAAUUAUAUAA